rnacentral:lncRNA from 1 species
UUUGACAAAUCUUAUAAUGUUACUUAUGACAGUGUAGAGAAAGCAUAGAAAAAUAUGGAAGAUCCAACAUACGUUUUCUGAAAAGUCUGCAAUAGAUACCAUAUGUUUAUGGCAGGGAGCAGAUCAUACUUACAAACUCCAAAAUAUAAACAUUAAUAACAAAAAUGAAAGAAAAUUUUUUACAAGAGACUAAAGUAAGUCAGUAAAACCUUUCCCACAUCAUUACGGCCCAAAUCGACCAGCAUUAUAUGUUCUGCACAUUGCUUUUUAUCUUUUAAAAGCUGCAGCUCCUGCAUCUCAUCUUCAUGAGGUGUCUUCCCUCUUCUUGUAGUUCCAGCCAAUGGUCGAUUAACAACCCUUUUCUGUCAAUAACAUUGAUACAUCCACAUUAAUUCUGUAUCAAGAGCUCUAUACUCAAGGCCAAAGUUUAAUGAUAUACCUUCUUGACACGAGUAAGAAUUUCUGGGCUUGAAGCAACAUGAAUACUUCCUCUAGCCUGAUCAAAUAAUGAAGACACCAUAGUUGGAAAACUUGCUUCAGACAAUUAAGAGAAUGGAUGUUCUUUGUAUUAAUAGAAGUACUAACCUGCAAGUAAGCCAUGUAGGGACUUGGAUUUAUUACUCUCAGUGCUCUGUAGACUUCAAAUGGAUCAGCAAAUGUUCUCUUCUCAAAGCGCUGACUUAAAACAAUCUGAAAAAUAUCUCCAGCAAGGAUAUGCUCCUUUGCCUGUAUGACAGCUUUCUUGUACUCUUCUCUUGUCAUGUUACUCUUGUUCAGAGAGAGUCCAAAAUUGUUAGUCCACAAUUCAACAGAUCCUGCUGAUAGCAUUGGACUGAAAAUGGAAAUUUAAUAUGUUAUGAUACAGAAGAUGUAAAAUCAAAAUUGAACCAAGAAAAUGUUAUGAUACAGAAGAUUCAAACAGUAACUUACGGAUCAAUAUUUUGUACUUUUGACAUUAGUCUUUCCAAGCGUUUCAUACCACUAGUGUAAGCCUUCUCUCUUGAUGGAUACUGAUCUAACUGCACCCAGUGGAUAACAUAUGCUUUCUGCAUGAACAAGAAGGAUUCUUAAUAAUCACUCAGGAAGAAUUUCCGAAACAAAUGCAAUUGGGUCAGCCCUGAGAGAGAGAUCACAGUGACCAUAACUAAUAUAUAAGGGUAAAAGCUAUUUUCCGUCAAUCUAGAUAAGAGGCUAAGACAAGCUGGUUCAUGUUCAAGAAUUACAAGGAACUAUUAAGGGAGGAUAAAAAUAGUGGUUAGUGACCUCCCACGUUCAAUAAAGAUUCCAUGAUAUAACAGCUAUUAAGAUGAAACUCACUAAAGCUUAGAUUGUGCAUUAAUACAUUAUCAUAGAUCUUAUCAAAUUGUCUUUACUACCAUAAAGCUGACUGAACUCAGCUAACAAAACAAUGUGAACAAUCAAGUUUAGACCUCCUUAUAUAGGUAAUUGAUUAACUUGUACAUUCCAUUCACUGUCUGGACUCAUUAUACAGCACAAAAACUGAAAGAAUUAGACAAACACAGAAAGGCAUGCACAUGCAGAAAGUGAUACAAGAAUACCUUCUCUACAUGAUCAAAUACUAUCACAUCAUCAUACAGCCCCAGAUGAAUGUCAGCAAGGCUCCGAUCAUCGCGUGGCGCCUGAGAGAAUGGCAGCUUCUUCUUCUCAAGGUACCUAACAGUGUCGUAAGAAAAAUAACCAACCCAUCCACCUGCGCAUGAUGCCCAAAGAACUCGUAAUUAAGUAUACAAGAAAAGUUGUAAACCUAGCAAUACAGUCUCCACUUUUAUUUCUGUUCACCUCUCAAGUAAGAGCCUACCAUACAAUUUUUCACAGCAAAUUCGUUUCAAACAUUGACUUUAUGUCUAAAAUGCAGUAACUCUAUCAAAAGACAUGUCAGGCACAAAAGAAAGCACAUCCAAAACAGGAAUGAAUAGAAAAAAUAGCUACUUCCGAACUAAAUUCUUCUACUCCCAGUAAUGGAAGGUAGUUGGGAAAGUAAGAGAAACAUAAUAAUACCAAAAAGUGUGUGAUUCUUCGAAAUAUAUGGAUGUCCAUGAUUAUCGUCUUUUAAAGAGGGCAUAUUUAGAUCUCCAAACAACAAGAAUUCCCUGUAUUAAAUAAGAAUUUUGACGUCUAACAUUCCGAUGCCUCCACCAGUUCAGUCAAGAAGAGUGCCACUGAUGGAGAAGAAACAGCAAGUUUAUGGGACACACUCAAAUUACAUCUCCUACUUUCUACAUUUGAAGUCACUAGAUACUAAUUUCAGUAACAGAGAGAACCCAUAAAACCUCUCCGUUACAACGGCCAAAUUCCUGUCUAUCACAAAACAAUCUUCAUCCAUGGCUACAGGCUGUUGGAACACAAUUCUGGGAAGGAAAAGCCCAAAAGUUUAUGUCCAUCACAAAUCUUACCCUAACUCCUUCACGGAAUCCUCAUAAUCUGAUGUGCAAAAACAUUACUUACUGUUCUUACAGAAUAAACAGGAAGUUACAGGAUACAACCUCAAAAAAGGAAAAGUAUUUCACGAGUUUACUCGAUUAUGAAACUUCACGUUUUUAUUCGAACUUCAGAAAAGUUUUUUUUUUUUUUUUUGAAUGAUGCACAAUUAAAUUUUGUUUUAAAAGAAAUGGAAAACCUGAGCCGACUUGAAAACAAAAGAAUAGACAGAUAAAUAAGAAUAUUCUAGUUAACGAGUCCAACUAGAAAGGAAAAACGAAAUUACUGGUUCGAGUAAUGUUAAAGUCAUACCACAAAAUGUAUCAGGAAGUUCACUAAUCAACUGAGGCUUCCAACUUUCAGAAAUUUCUCUUGGAAUCGUCAUCGGGUCCUCCACAACAAUCUCCUUCAACUUCCCUUUGUAGUGAUCCAAGAUGGUGACAUCAUUUUCUUUUGCCACGAUUUCCACCGCUGGCUGAGCACCGACCACGCUGUACCGACCCUAACAAUUCCCAUUUUCAACACCAGUUAAACCAAAAAUCUACAAACAUCAUAAAACACGUGCUAUAAUGGAAAAACCAUAUUCUGAAGGGGAACAUAGAGGCUUACAACAUGGGAAGUUCGGAAACCAGGUUCUACGGACUCGAAAAGAAAGCUAGGAGCCUCCCGGUCGUCUUCUUUAACUAAGCAGCGGUAUGCAAGCACGGGAGUCAGAUGAUCCGAGAAAAUACAUUGGUAGAGCGGAAUGACAUUUCCAUGUCUGGAAGCUUCCAUAAAUCUUUUUUUAUCCGUCACUGAAUAAAUUGAGAACACAAAAGAAUAAAUAAAAAAGAUCCACGAUUGAAACAACCAUGUAAUUAAAGCAUAGUUGAAAAAUGAAGGGACAUUUUAGGGAUAACGAUACUAUUUAUGGCAGCGUUUUCACCUGAACGAGUGAAACAAAAAUCAUGAAGUCCAGCACAGAUUAUACAGAAACAAUUUGAGCAUUAACCAAUGAAUGAGCGUACCUGGAGAUGAAGACUGGAGAGAGCAACAUUGGAGUGAAGGAAGGGAGCGACGAAGAGAGAGACGUGAGCUAAAGCUGUGACUAGGGGAGAAUUCGAAGGAAACAACCGGACACAAGCGGCGGUUCACCGGAGAUAACCGGUAAUUGGCAGGAGAAAGUCGAUUGGGAGCAUGUAGGGCUUGCAUUAUUAGUUUUUUUCUCUCUAAUUAUAACGGCCUGGUGCAUUCAACCUUCCGAGGGACUCAGAAGAAGGAACGGAAGCCAAUGCUGAAAAUGUGAAAUGCAGCUUAUUACACUUCACCGUCUGCGAAUGCUGCUCGGAGCAAAUAAGGACAGGAAGGACAGCGGUGAGUGCACCAGACUCCAGAGGAGAUUUUGGGGGAUAGUACAAAUAAGAGGAAGAGAGUUUAGGAAUCUGGUUGAGAGUUGAGGGUUGAGACGGUGCGUCUCGUCUCGAAGUUGUGUCGAAUUCUUUUACAGCGUCAGCGAGCACGUACUCCUAAUAUGCACCGCUUCCAAGCCAUUAGCCACUCUAUUUAUAGUCACACGCCUCUGCCCAUUUACUCCAGAAGGCCUGUUUAACUGGGGCGAAACUUUCACACCAAAAAUGUGAAGAAUUAAUUUUUAGGGUUAAUUACAAUUUGCUUCCUUAAACUUGACCCUUUAUAACAUUUUGCCCCCAUAAACUUUAAAUAUAUAUACUUUGCCCCAUUCAUUGACUAGUCAAAUAUUAAUGAUGAAUUCUCCCCCCAAAAUUUUAACAAAAUGGCAUUAAUGCCCUUACAUAAUAGUUCUACAAUAAUGCUAUACUUUUAAUCAAAAUAUAAAACAUUUUGUUAGAAAAAACACAAAGUCAUAUGAUUUAAAAAAUUUAGAAAUAAAAGAUGGUAUAAUACCAAAGAAUUGAAAAUUUUUUUAUGGAGAAAAAAAGAAUUUAAAAAAUCCUAAAACAUCAGCACAAGUUUUCCAUUACUUAUCUUUAUUCCUUUAAAUUGUAAACAGAUUAGUUUUGAUAAUUUUCAUUUACUUUGCAGCUGUCACAAGAUUUUCACGAGUCAAUAAAAUGUUAUUUGGUAAUUUUAUAUCACAUUCAUACGUUGCUUUGUAUUUUAUUUGCAUUCUACAUUCUACAUUUUUAAAAAAAAAAUUAAGUUCUCUAAUACAUUUUUAUUUUUAAUUAUGUUUUUUUUCUCAUAUAAAACACAUAAAAAAGUGCUACAAUAAAAAAAAUAAGCAAAUAAUUUCAUUCCAAAUGCACUAAUUAAUUUUAUUUCAUUUAAAAUAAGUAUUGCUACCGACAUUGAGAUAAAUACAUUGAGUUGGUUAAAUUCUUUUUUGCAAAUUAUCUAAUUCAUUUUAAGGCUAAAAGAUCGAAAUGCCUAAUGUAAUUGUAUUUAGAUGCAUUUAGCAAUUAUAAAAAAAAAAGGUGUUUAUUAUGUUAUGAGUGUUUAAGAAUUAGCCAAGGAUGUUUUUGUCAUGAAAAAUAUAACUUCAUCUUAACUCCGUCAAAAAGUUGAUUAUAAAGGGUAAAGUAUAUAUAUUUGGAAUUAGAGGGGCAAAGUGUUACAAAUACCCAAGUUCAAGGGAGCAAAAUGUAAUUAACCCUAAUUUUUAUACAUUCAUUGUGUAUAGACUUUUUAAUUAGGGCACAACUUCACGCGAAAAAUAUAAAGAAUUGAUCUUUUAUAUAAUGAUAAUGUAUAUACUUUCAGCAUGAUAUAUUACACAUGAUCUAGAUUUGAAUUUAAAAUCCAAUCCUAUAUAUAGAUUACUCAAAUGUAUGCCUUCUUUUAGCACAACCAUGACGACUUGUAAUCCAUAUACAAAACUUGAUUUAACAACCGUGGAGACAGUUUUCUCUAGACAAAACCAUGAAACGAACAACUAUUAGUAUAAUUUAGGUAAAUGAACUAGUCAUUAAGCUAUAAACCAUCAAUUUAUGUUAAGUUUUAUAUGCCUACUUAUCUUACGAUGUCGUCAUUAGGUAACUGUAUCCUUCCUUCAUCAAAUGAUAAUUGAUCAUUUUUAUGAAGGCAUUCCAGAAAUGUUAACAGAACUAAUUUACAGAUUUUUUACCUAAUAUGGGUCCAAAAAUGAUAAACAAACAAAUGAUGUUUAGUUGAGUUUUAUAUGCCGACUUAUUUUUCGAUGCCAUCAUUAGGUAACUACCUUUCCUUCAUCAAAUAAUAAUUGAUCAUGUAUUGGAAGGUUUUCCAGAAAUGUCAACAAAAUGUAAUUUAUAAAUUUUUUCCCUAAGAUGGGACCAAAACAGAUAAACAAAAAAUAAAACAAAAUGGAGAAAUUUUAUUACAAUCUAAAUCAAUUAUUAGUUUGGCAUAAUUUUAUUUGAAGCAUUUUCAUUGGUUAAAAACUAGUAACUACUAGGUUUGAUUGUAAUAAAGAUUUUUUUCAAACAAAAACGUAGGUUUGACACGCAAAGAAUACCAGUUAUUUUUACGAAAUUAAUGAAAUGAUUAGUAUGAAUAUCCAUUCGUCUCCCCAAAAGAUACAUUGAAACGUUCAUCUUUAAAGGUUCAUUGGAAUAGCAUCUUCUUAUAAGUUUGUUUGUUGGUUCAUUAUGGAGCUAAAUUCAUGUAUUUGAAAUAUAUAGUAAAUUCAUGCACUUAUAUAUUCAUGCUAGUACAUAUACCUUUGAUCUUGUAUCAUUUAUAAAUAGAGGUAUAUAAGACUCAUUUCUAAUAUUUGAAUAAAAAAACAUUCUCACUAUUUCCUUUUCUCCGUUCUACAAUCUUCAUUUUCUACUUGUAAGGAAUUUAUUUUAUUAAUUUCACAAUAAUUUAUUUAAUAUUAAUGAAUUCUCAAAAUUCAUACGUCUCGUCUCUCAACCAACACUAAACGUCUAAAAAUACAUUGGGCACAAAGUAAGGAUAUAGUACUAACUUUUGGUGCUCCACUAACUGUACCAACAGGAAGUGCAGCACGCAGUGCAUCCCAGCAAGUAAGAUGAUCAAGCAACUCCCCUGUGACCUGUAAUAAUGUCCCAAUGGUUUUAAACAAAAUGGUUACUCAAAUAAAGCCUUCUUCAACUCUCAUGAGUUUAUGAAGGUGUUAUGAGGCCAAGACAUUUAAAGCUACUGAAAUGAAACAACUUCUACCCGCAGGAAAACCGGCAACUCUCUAGUAUGAAAACCAAACUAUAUUGUCCAUACUAUGUAAUUACUGCAACAGGGAUGAACAAUUUUAUUUGAAAAACUGAUAGUCAACAAGGCUUUAUGAUGAUAUUCUCACCGUGGAGCUUAUGUGCAUCACAUGGGAGUACCGCUCAACAGUCAUAAGUUUUUCAACAUUUACAGAACCUGGCUUCGAGACCUACAUUUGACAAAUCUUAUAAUGUUACUUAUGACAGUGUAGAGAAAGCAUAGAAAAAUAUGGAAGAUCCAACAUACGUUUUCUGAAAAGUCUGCAAUAGAUACCAUAUGUUUAGGGCAGGGAGCAGAUCAUAUUUACAAACUCCCAAAUAUAAACAUUAAUAACAAAAAUGCAAGAAAAUUUUUUACAAGAGAGUAAAGUAAGUCAGUAAAACCUUUCCCACAUCAUUACGGCCCAAAUCGACCAGCAUUAUAUGUUCUGCACAUUGCUUUUUAUCUUUUAAAAGCUGCAGCUCCUGCAUCUCAUCUUCAUGAGGUGUCUUCCCUCUUCUUGUAGUUCCAGCCAAUGGUCGAUUAACAACCCUUUUCU